AUUUCCGUAGGAGCGAAGUCGAAUGGCGCCCCCAGCGGCUUGGGGUGGGAUCUCAGUGCCUCAUUCCUGGCGGCCCCGGGAGGGCGAUGCCAAGUUUCGCUCUUGUUCCCUGGGCUGCAGUGCAGUGGCACCAUCUCGGCUCACCGCAACCUCCGCCUCCCAAGUUCAAGCGAUUCUCCUGCCUCAGCCUCCCCAGUAUCUGGGAUUACAGUAAAAUUAAAACAGGCACAAUGAUAUCCUGGAUGACAAGAGCUGGAGGCUGUCAUUCUAACAAUGUAGUGAGACUGGCUGUCUUGUCUCAUGCCCACCCCUGGAAACAUGCGCAGGAACUCAAAGCACCUAGCACAGAGGAAGUGUCUGGUUGUUUUAAAGGAAAAACAAAACCAAAAAAAGCACCUCCUGCUCUGACCACCCCUAUUUCCAGUUUUCCCUUUUGGCACAGCAAAGAUGACCUUGGGACUGAGGUGGAACCAUGUAAUUCUUCGUAAUCCCAGAGUCAGGCAGACCUGGGAGAUAACAUCCAUCUCGAAGGAAGAUCUGGCCUGAAGAGCAGUCACUCUUGCCUGGCAUGCAGAGAAUGCCAAAUCAUAUUAAUGACUGGCCAGAAUGAAGUGCGUGACCUCAUCACUCCAUAACUGACAGGAAACAACUGCUAGGGCAAGAAAAAAGGGUCUCCAGUGAGUAUUCUUGUCCACACACAUCCCCACUCACGUUCCUGGACCACUGCAUCUAACUGCCGCAGCAGCUAAUGAACCUUCUGGAAUAAAGGACCAGUUUCUUAAGAAGGGAUUGAGACCUCCAGUGGCCUCCCACAUUGUUUCCGGCAAGAAUUUAAAAAUUAUUUGUAACAUAUAGUAAUAAAAACUAACCACAGGCUGGGCGCAGUGGCUCACGCCUGUAAUCCCAGCACUUUGGGAGGCUGAGGCAGGUGGAUCACCUGAGGUCAGGAGUUCGAGACCAGCCUGACCAAUAUGGUGAAACCCUGUUUCUCCUAAAAAUACAAAAAUUAGCUGGGCAUGGUGGUGGGCGCCUGUAAUCUCAGCUACUCAGGAGGCUGAAACAGGAGAACUGCUUGAAUCUGGGAGGUAGAUGUUGCAGUGAGCCGAUAUCGCGCCAUUGCACUCCAGCCUGGGCAAUGACUCCGUCUCAAAAAAAAAAAAAAAAAAAAAAAACUAACCACAGCUACUAUUUAUGAACUCUAGUGCCACACCCCAUUUCUUCCCAGGUUUCACCCCCUCUUCCCAGGUUUCACCCACCCCAACCAGUGUUGUUUGCAACACUUCAGCUUCUCUCCUCACGAAGCACGUCUCCAGAGACGCCUCUUCCGCAACUUCCCAGGGAAGCCAUUUCUGCCUGGACCCACCACAGCUCCCAACCUGUCACGCACCCCUGGAGGGUUUUGCUCUGUAAUCCUGAUUUAGAAAUCCUCUUAUAUGAAACCACUGUAAUCCACAUCUGGUUAGACAAUUGGAAAAGUUCAUUGAAAGGAGAAAUAAUAAAAAUGGCAUCCAUCCCUUAAAUGUUGUAUGCCAACGUAAAACACAUUCGACAAUGACCCUGGGCUAAGGCUCUACCUUACAGAGAAACCUGUAUCGGUGUUCCCCUCCAUUUUCCUUACAUAAACCAACCAAAAAUCUUCAGUUGUUCCGUUCUCUGUCUCUCUCCCUCUCCACACCCACCUUCCCUCUUCCUCUCUCCCUCCCUCCCUCUCUCUUUCUCUCUUUUUUGAGACAGAGUUUCACUCUGUCACCCAGGCUGGAGUGCAGCGGCUAGAUCUUGGUUCACUGCAGCCUCCACCACUCCCCCCACUUCCCCCCCGCCGCCCCUGCCCCCACCGCAGCCUCCCAGGUGGCUGGGACUACAGGCCACCACGCCCACUAAUUUUUGUAUUUUUUCUAUAGAGACGGGGUUUCAUCAUGUUGCCCAGACUGGUCUCAAACUCUUGGGCUCAAGCAAUCCUCUCACCUCAGCCUCCCGGUGCUGGGAUUAUAGGCGUGAACCAUCGCGUCCGGCCUCCCAAAUCUUUUACAGUUGUCUUGUUCACUUCUCAUUCAGCAGCAUUUUGAGUUGGGAGGGGUAACAACUCACCUUAAUCAAGUCUCUCUAAAGCAUUCAACUUAGUUUUACUAGGUUCAUUUCUUGUAGCUCAUUGGUUUAACUAAUAGUUCCCCAAAUCACAUCCUACCAGUAUAAAAGCACAACUGGUAUAAACACGUUUGGGAACACACAUAACUCAAGUAUCAGGAUGUAAGAGCGAGAGCAUGGGGAGAGUUAAGAAUUUCUCACAGACUGAUUCCCUCCCACAUUCAUCCCUGGUGUGUUUAUCCGUGUUAGGGCUGUUCUGAUGAAAGUCUUGUAGGACUUGGCAGCAAGAUGGGAAAGAUCCAUGGAAGUCCAUUGCUCAUAGCUGAUGAUGAUCUCUCAUUGCUGAGCUUAGGGUUGAAAAAGGAGUGCCAGGUCCUUUGAAAUCAAGAAGAAUUUAUGAAUCACCUUUCAUUUAUGGAGCCCUUAGCUCAAAGCUCUAAAGUUAGUCUUUUCUCAAGAUUAUAUCCUAUUUGGGAAUGCUCAUAAUGGUCCAAUCACCAUUUGUGAAAACUUACUGUGUACCAGCAAUAAACACUCUUCUACAUAGACAAUCUCAUUCUAAUAUAAUUUCUGUGCACGUUAUAGAUUCUAUUUCUGAAACAGCCCUAUGUGGUAGUUUUAUUACUAUCCUCAUUUUCACCCAACAAAUCUGAGGCACUGAGAGGUUAAGGACCUGGACUGAAGCUGCACAGCUAGAAGGUGACAGA
rnacentral:lncRNA from 10 species